rnacentral:rRNA from 1 species
CAGCAGCCACGGGAAUACGGAGGGGGCUAGCGUUGUUCGGAAUUACUGGGCGUAAAGCGCACGUAGGCGGCUUGGUAAGCUAGAGGUGAAAGCCUGGAGCUCAACUCCAGAAUUGCCUUUAAGACUGCCGAGCUAGUAGGUGAGAGAGGUAAGUGGAAUUCCGAGUGUAGAGGUGAAAUUCGUAGAUAUUCGGAAGAACACCAGUGGCGAAGGCGGCUUACUGGCUCAUUCUAGACGCUGAGGUGCGAAAGCGUGGGGAGCAAACAGGAUUAGAUACCCCAGUAGUCCCUGUCUCUUAUAC